AGUGAACGCUGGCGGUAGGCCUAACACAUGCAAGUCGAACGGCAGCACAGUAAGAGCUUGCUCUUACGGGUGGCGAGUGGCGGACGGGUGCGGAAUACAUCGGAAUCUACUUUUUCGAGGGGGAUAACGCAGGGAAACUUACGCUAAUACCGCAUACGACCUACGGGUGAAAGCAGGGGAUCUUCGGACCUUGCGCGAGUGAAUGAGCCGAUGUCGGAUUAGCUAGUUGGCGGGGUAAAGGCCCACCAAGGCGACGAUCCGUAGCUGGUCUGAGAGGAUGAUCAGCCACACUGGAACUGAGACACGGUCCAGACUCCUACGGGAGGCAGCAAUGGGGAAUAUUGGACAAUGGGCGCAAGCCUGAUCCAGCCAUACCGCGUGGGUGAAGAAGGCCUUCGGGUUGUAAAGCCCUUUUGUUGGGAAAGAAAAGCAGCAGGUUAAUACCCCGCUGUUCUGACGGUACCCAAAGAAUAAGCACCGGCUAACUUCGUG
rnacentral:rRNA from 1 species